CCUACGGGGGGCAGCAGUGAGGAAUAUUGGUCAAUGGGCGUAAGCCUGAACCAGCCAAGUCGCGUGAGGGAUGAAGGUUCUAUGGAUCGUAAACCUCUUUUAUAAGGGAAUAAAGUGUGGGACGUGUCCUGUUUUGUAUGUACCUUAUGAAUAAGGAUCGGCUAACUCCGUGCCAGCAGCCGCGGUAAUACGGAGGAUCCGAGCGUUAUCCGGAUUUAUUGGGUUUAAAGGGUGCGUAGGCGGCCUUUUAAGUCAGCGGUGAAAGUCUGUGGCUCAACCAUAGAAUGGCCGUUGAAACUGGGAGGCUUGAGUAUGUUUGAGGCAGGCGGAAUGCGUGGUGUAGCGGUGAAAUGCUUAGAUAUCACGCAGAACCCCGAUUGCGAAGGCAGCCUGCCAAGCCAUGACUGACGCCGAUGCACGAAAGCGUGGGGAUCAAACAGGAUUAGAUACCCCAGUAGUC
rnacentral:rRNA from 1 species